rnacentral:rRNA from 1 species
CCCUGCGGCACUCUAUAAUGCAGUCGAGCGGACAGAUGGGAGCUUGCUCCCUGAUGUUAGCGGCGGACGGGUGAGUAACACGUGGGUAACCUGCCUGUAAGACUGGGAUAACUCCGGGAAACCGGGGCUAAUACCGGAUGCUUGUUUGAACCGCAUGGUUCAAACAUAAAAGGUGGCUUCGGCUACCACUUACAGAUGGACCCGCGGCGCAUUAGCUAGUUGGUGAGGUAAUGGCUCACCAAGGCAACGAUGCGUAGCCGACCUGAGAGGGUGAUCGGCCACACUGGGACUGAGACACGGCCCAGACUCCUACGGGAGGCAGCAGUAGGGAAUCUUCCGCAAUGGACGAAAGUCUGACGGAGCAACGCCGCGUGAGUGAUGAAGGUUUUCGGAUCGUAAUGCUCUGUUGUUAGGGAAGAACAAGUGCCGUUCAAAUAGGGCGGCACCUUGACGGUACCUAACCAGAAAGCCACGGCUAACUACGUGCCAGCAGCCGCGGUAAUACGUAGGUGGCAAGCGUUGUCCGGAAUUAUUGGGCGUAAAGGGCUCGCAGGCGGUUUCUUAAGUCUGAUGUGAAAGCCCCCGGCUCAACCGGGGAGGGUCAUUGGAAACUGGGGAACUUGAGUGCAGAAGAGGAGAGUGGAAUUCCACGUGUAGCGGUGAAAUGCGUAGAGAUGUGGAGGAACACCAGUGGCGAAGGCGACUCUCUGGUCUGUAACUGACGCUGAGAGCGAAAGCGUGGGGGAGCGAACAGGAUUAGAUACCCUGGUAGUCCACGCCGUAAACGAUGAGUGCUAAGUGUAGGGGGUUUCCGCCCCUUAGUGCUGCAAGCUACGCAUAAGCACUCGGCUGGGGGAGUACGGUCGCCAAGACUGAAAUCUCAAAGGAUUGACGGGGCCCGCACAAGCGGGAGGAGCCAUGGUGUUCUAUUCGGAGCACGCGCGAGGAG